rnacentral:rRNA from 1 species
UACGUAGGGGGCAAGCGUUAUCCGGAUUUACUGGGUGUAAAGGGUGCGUAGGUGGCGGGGCAAGUCAGAUGUGAAAGCCCGGGGCUCAACCCCGGUACUGCAUUUGAAACUGUUCUGCUAGGGUGUCGGAGAGGUAAGUGGAAUUCCUAGUGUAGCGGUGAAAUGCGUAGAUAUUAGGAGGAACACCAGUGGCGAAGGCGGCUUACUGGACGGUAACUGACACUGAGGCACGAAAGCGUGGGUAUCGAAC